UACGAAGGGGGCUAGCGUUGUUCGGAAUUACUGGGCGUAAAGGGCGCGUAGGCGGUUCGUCAAGUCCUGUGUGAAAUCCCCCGGCUCAACUGGGGAACUGCACAGGAAACUAGCGGGCUUGAGUUCGGGAGAGGGAAGCGGAAUUCCGGGUGUAGCGGUGAAAUGCGUAGAUAUCCGGAGGAACACCGGUGGCGAAGGCGGCUUCCUGGACCGACACUGACGCUGAGGCGCGAAAGCUAGGGGAGCAAACGGG
rnacentral:rRNA from 1 species